rnacentral:rRNA from 1 species
GAUGAACGCUGGCGGCGUGCCUAAUACAUGCAAGUCGAGCGAACAGACGAGGAGCUUGCUCCUCUGACGUUAGCGGCGGACGGGUGAGUAACACGUGGAUAACCUACCUAUAAGACUGGGAUAACUUCGGGAAACCGGAGCUAAUACCGGAUAAUAUAUUGAACCGCAUGGUUCAAUAGUGAAAGACGGUUUUGCUGUCACUUAUAGAUGGAUCCGCGCCGCAUUAGCUAGUUGGUAAGGUAACGGCUUACCAAGGCAACGAUGCGUAGCCGACCUGAGAGGGUGAUCGGCCACAGUGGAACUGAGACACGGUCCAGACUCCUACGGGAGGCAGCAGUAGGGAAUCUUCCGCAAUAGGCGAAAGCCUGACGGAGCAACGCCGCGUGAGUGAUGAAGGUCUUCGGAUCGUAAAACUCUGUUAUUAGGGAAGAACAAAUGUGUAAGUAACUAUGCACGUCUUGACGGUACCUAAUCAGAAAGCCACGGCUAACUACGUG